CGCAAGCCUGACGGAGCAACGCCGCGUGAGGGAUGAAGGCCUUUGGGCUGUAAACCUCUUUUCUCAAGGAAGAACAUCUGACGGUACUUGAGGAAUAAGCCACGGCUAGUUCCGUGCCAGCAGCCGCGGUAAUACGGGAGUGGCAAGCGUUAUCCGGAAUUAUUGGGCGUAAAGCGUCCGCAGGCGGCCGUUUAAGUCUGUUGUUAAAUCGUGGAGCUCAACUCCAUCACGGCAAUGGAAACUGUUCGGCUUGAGUAUGGUAGGGGCAGAGGGAAUUUCCGGUGUAGCGGUGAAAUGCGUAGAUAUCGGGAAGAACACCAGUGGCAAAAGCGCUCUGCUGGGCCAUUACUGACGCUCAUGGACGAAAGCCAGGGGAGCGAAAGGGGUUAGAUACCCCUGUAGUCCUGGCCGUAAACGAUGAACACUAGAUGUUGGGGGAAUCGACCCCUCCAGUGUCGUAGCUAACGCGUUAAGUGUUCCGCCUGGGGAGUACGCACGCAAGUGUGAAACUCAAAGGAAUUGACGGGGGCCCGCACAAGCGGUGGAGUAUGUGGUUUAAUUCGAUGCAACGCGAAGAACCUUACCAAGGCUUGACAUCCUGCGAAUCUCCAAGAAAUUGGAGAGUGCCUUCGGGAACGCAGUGACAGGUGGUGCAUGGCUGUCGUCAGCUCGUGUCGUGAGAUGUUGGGUUAAGUCCCGCAACGAGCGCAACCCACGUUUUUAGUUGCCAGCAUUCAGUUGGGCACUCUAGAAAGACUGCCGGUGACAAACCGGAGGAAGGUGUGGACGACGUCAAGUCAUCAUGCCCCUUACGCCUUGGGCUACACACGUACUACAAUGCUGCGGACAAAGAGUAGCGAUCUUGCAAAAGUUAGCUAAUCUCGUAAACCGUGGCUCAGUUCAGAUCGUAGGCUGCAACUCGCCUACGUGAAGGAGGAAUCGCUAGUAAUCGCAGGUCAGCAUACUGCGGUGAAUACGUUCCCGGGCCUUGUACACACCGCCCGUCACACCAUGGGAGUUGGCCAUGCCCGAAGUCGUUACUCUAACCUUUUGGAAGAGGGCGCCGAAGGCAGGGCUAAUGACUGGGGUGAAGUCGUAACAAGGUAGCCGUAGCGGAAGCUGCGGCUGGAUCACCUCCUAA
rnacentral:rRNA from 1 species